rnacentral:pre_miRNA from 1 species
UUUUUAGCAUAAGUAUGUCCCAUGCCAUGUGCAGGAUAUACUUAUGCUAAAA